rnacentral:rRNA from 1 species
UACGAAGGGGGCUAGCGUUACUCGGAAUUACUGGGCGUAAAGAGCGUGUAGGCGGCUCGGUAAGUCCGCUCUGAAAGCCCGGGGCUCAACCCCGGGAGGCGGGCGGAUACUGUCGGGCUAGAGUCCGGAAGAGGCGAGUGGAAUUCCUGGUGUAGCGGUGAAAUGCGCAGAUAUCAGGAGGAACACCGGUGGCGAAGGCGGGUCUCUGGGCCGGAACUGACGCUGAGGAGCGAAAGCGUGGGGAGCGAACAGG